GAUGAACGCUGGCGGUGUGCCUAAUACAUGCAAGUCGAGCGAAUGGAUUAAGAGCUUGCUCUUAUGAAGUUAGCGGCGGACGGGUGAGUAACACGUGGGUAACCUGCCCAUAAGACUGGGAUAACUCCGGGAAACCGGGGCUAAUACCGGAUAACAUUUUGAACCGCAUGGUUCGAAAUUGAAAGGCGGCUUCGGCUGUCACUUAUGGAUGGACCCGCGUCGCAUUAGCUAGUUGGUGAGGUAACGGCUCACCAAGGCAACGAUGCGUAGCCGACCUGAGAGGGUGAUCGGCCACACUGGGACUGAGACCCGGCCCAGACUCCUACGGGAGGCAGCAGUAGGGAAUCUUCCGCAAUGGACGAAAGUCUGACGGAGCAACGCCGCGUGAGUGAUGAAGGCUUUCGGGUCGUAAAACUCUGUUGUUAGGGAAGAACAAGUGCUAGUUGAAUAAGCUGACACCUUGACGGUACCUAACCAGAAAGUCACGGCUAACUACGUGCCAGCCGCCGCCGUAC
rnacentral:rRNA from 1 species